UGAGGAAUCUUCCACAAUGGGCGAAAGCCUGAUGGAGCAACGCCGCGUGCAGGAUGAAGGCCCUCGGGUCGUAAACUGCUUUUAUAAGUGAAGAAUAUGACGGUAACUUAUGAAUAAGCACCGGCUAACUACGUGCCAGCAGCCGCGGUCAUACGUAGGGUGCAAGCAUUAUCCGGAGUGACUGGGCGUAAAGAGUUGCGUAGGUGGUUUGUUAAGUGAAUGGUGAAAUCUGGUGGCUCAACCACAUAGACUAUUAUUCAAACUGACAAACUCGAGAGUAGCAGAGGUAACUGGAAUUUCUAGUGUAGGAGUGAAAUCCGUAGAUAUUAGAAGGAACACCAAUGGCGUAGGCAGGUUACUAGGCUAUUUCUGACACUGAGGCACGAAAGCGUGGGGAGCGAACC
rnacentral:rRNA from 1 species